ensembl:lncRNA
CUGCUGAGCUGAGACAGACACUAUUGGACCAGACACUACCAUGUCUCCCUGCUGAGCUGAGACAGACACUAUUGGACCAGACACUACCAUGUCUCCCUGCUGAGCUGAGACAGACACUAUUGGACCAGACACUACCAUGUCCCCCUGCUGAGCUGAGACAGACACUAUUGGACCAGACACUACCAUGUCUCCCUGCUGAGCUGAGACAGACACUAUUGGACCAGACACUACCAUGUCUCCCUGCUGAGCUGAGACAGACACUAUUGGACCAGACACUACCACCAGUUCAACAACAGGUCUGGAGAGGAGAACAUGAGAGACAGAGAGCUCUGAGAGGUCACCCAUAACAGUUCACCAACAGGUCUGGAGAGGAGAACAUGAGAGACAGAGAGCUCUGAGGGGUCACCCAUAACAGUUCACCAACAGGUCUGGAGAGGGUGGGUAGUUUUACAUUCAAGAAGCUGACGUUUUGGGAAACAUGAGGCGUCUGAAAUGUGGAAGUCGUAAAGUUGUGUUUGUAGGAUGUUGCUGGGUUCCUUAUUCUGGACAGGAAUGAUGUUCAGUUACCAGACACAGCUGGUUGUUGUCAACGACCUCUGAC